AAAAUACAGUCGUUCAGAUGAAAUGUAUGCUUUCCCAACAAGCUUUGGCUUUAAAGGAGAGGCUCUGAGCUCUAUUUUUGACGUUUCUUUGUUGGAAAUUGUUACCAAAACUCACGGGAGGCCAAAUGGAUAUCUUAAGGUUUUGAAGGACGGCAAGUGGGUUUACCUUGGAAUUUGAUGAUUGUAGACAAGAUGUUGGUACAACAGUCAUUGUUUGUGAUGUAUUUUACAAUCAACCAGUUCGAAGGAAGCAAAUGCACUCCAAUCCAAAGAGAGUUUUCAUUCUCCAGAAGAGUCUCUGCUAAGAAUCGCCCUUGCGCAUCCCAAUGUCUCCUUGAAAAUUGUUUACAUCGAAAGGUCUCCUUUUAUAACUUAAGGAUAUUUCCUGUCUGGUUUCUUAGAUUUUGUUCAUUUGCAUGCUGUGAGGAUGACCUGCUUUGCACACAUGCUUCUCCUUCUCCUUGCCUUUGUUGUCCAGUGGAUUUGGGAUUCAUUUGAGUUCCCUUAACUAAUUGAAUGCAAGCGUUGGUUCAUUCAAGCUUUAAGGAUACAUCUCAGGUCUUGAUGUUUACACAGUGAAGGUAUACUUGUCCAAAUUGAUGGAUAAAGAGAUGGGAUAAGUCUAAAAUACUCUCUCCCAUUGAUUAUGGGAGAACAAUGAAACAACGUUUCUAGCUUCUUUUGGUGGCAAAACCAAACAGACCACUGUUAGCAAGGACAUGUCAUACAUAUUUGUUUUACUGAUUGUAGUGUUGUAUUCCUCAUUACAAUGUGUUUGCUGCUUCUAAGACUGACAACUCUUCAUGUUUGAACUUUGACUCCUGG